rnacentral:rRNA from 1 species
GGCGGACGGGUGAGUAACGCGUAACCAACCUGCCCUCGAGACUGGAAUAGCCACUGGAAACGGUGGGUAAUGCCAGAUGGCCCCGCCGGCUGGGAAUCCAGCUGCGGGUAAACGGUGGCGCAAGCUGCUGCUCGGGGAGGGGGUUGCGUCCUAUCAGCUAGUUGGUGAGGUAACGGCUCACCAAGGCGAUGACGGGUAGCUGGUCUGAGAGGACGACCAGCCACACUGGGACUGAGAUACUGCCCAGACUCCUACGGGAGGCUGCAGUCGAGAAUCUUCCGCAAUGGGCGAAAGCCUGACGGAGCGACACCGCGUGCAGGACGAAGGCCCUCGGGUUGUAAACUGCUGUCACGCUCUAGGAAUGCGACGCCGGAAAUACCGGCGGCGUUGACCAAAGCGAGAGGAAGUGGCGGCUAACUCUGUGCCAGCAGCCGCGGUAAGACAGAGGCCACAAACGUUGUUCGGAAUCACUGGGCAUAAAGCGCACGUA